rnacentral:rRNA from 1 species
AUUGAACGCUGGCGGCAUGCCUUACACAUGCAAGUCGAACGGCAGCGGGGGAGAAGCUUGCUUUUCCUGCCGGCGAGUGGCGAACGGGUGAGUAAUACAUCGGAACGUGCCCUGUAGUGGGGGAUAACUAGUCGAAAGAUUAGCUAAUACCGCAUACGACCUGAGGGUGAAAGUGGGGGACCGCAAGGCCUCAUGCUACAGGAGCGGCCGAUGUCUGAUUAGCUAGUUGGUGGGGUAAAGGCCUACCAAGGCGACGAUCAGUAGCUGGUCUGAGAGGACGAUCAGCCACACUGGGACUGAGACACGGCCCAGACUCCUACGGGAGGCAGCAGUGGGGAAUUUUGGACAAUGGGCGAAAGCCUGAUCCAGCAAUGCCGCGUGUGUGAAGAAGGCCUUCGGGUUGUAAAGCACUUUUGUCCGGAAAGAAAUGGCUCUGGUUAAUACCUGGGGUCGAUGACGGUACCGGAAGAAUAAGGACCGGCUAACUCCGUGCCAGCAGCCGCGGUAA